GAUGAAGGACGUAGCGAAAUGCGAUACUUGGUGUGAAUUGCAGAAUCCCGUGAACCAUCGAGUCUUUGAACGCAAGUUGCGCCCGAAGCCAUUAGGCCGAGGGCACGCCUGCCUGGGCGUCACACGUCGUUGCCCCCCCAUCUACUCCUUCGGGAUUGCGGGGGGCGGAUGACGGCCUCCCGUGCGCCUCGUCGCGCGGUUGGCAUAAAUGCCAAGUCCUCGGCGACGCACGCCACGACAAUCGGUGGUUGCGAAACCUCGGUUGCCCGUCGUGUGCGGUCGUCGCGCAUCGAGGGCUCGAAAAAAUUGCCGGGCUCCGGCUCGGCUUUCAACGCGACCCCAGGUCAGGCGGGAUUACCCGCUGAAUUUAAGCAUAUCAAUAAGCGGAGGA
rnacentral:misc_RNA from 1 species